rnacentral:pre_miRNA from 1 species
ACGCGUUCCGUAGCCUUCUGCACAGUUGACUGCCCGGCGAGCGAAUUCUUUUAUCGAUUUAUUGUGUGGGAGGGAGGGAGGCGUUG